UGUUUGGAUCGCGGCGACGUGGGCGUUUUGCUGCCCGCGACGUCGCGAGAAGUCCACUAAGCCUUAUCAUUUAGAGGAAGGAGGAGUCGUAACAAGGUUUUCGUAGGUGAACCUGCGAAAGGAUCAUU
rnacentral:rRNA from 1 species